rnacentral:lncRNA from 1 species
CCUAGUGCAGACUUCUGAGCAGGCAGGCCUGGGACRGUGCUUGGGCUGGGCUUUGCCAUGUUUCAUUUGGUCUCCUUUUCUAAAGAAAUUCAACCUGGGAGGGGUAAUUCUGACCCAUUACAAUCAACAGGAGUAUUUACAACAUAAUCAUAUUUUGCAACUGCUAAGRGAUGAUUUUGGAGAAUUUUCUCUAAACCAAGGAAGAACAGCAUAAGAGCAUGACACUACUGGAUCUGCCAGCCGGCCUUUACAGAGUCUGCUUCACCCUUGCCGAAGCUCUGUAGUAUCCAAUGGUUUUGAUGACAGGAAUAGAGGUGAUACCUGAAGACACUCCUCAUCUCACUGCAGGUAAGGGCGCAGAGA